GUGAAAAUGAGCUUCACUGAGAACAAGGACUAUGGCACCAAAGGUUACGCCAUCUUUCAAAAUCUCAACCUGCUGGAUGUUGAGCAACCGAUUGAUUGAGCAACACGUGGACACCAGGACCCAAUCAGGGCCCUGAUGGUGUCACAUGGCUGCUGUCCGGUAUUCACACGCCCGCGGCUGAAGACCGGCACGAAUGGAAGAAGAACCGCCGCGGGCCCGGGGCGCUUUGGACGGGAGCCCAACAAGGAGUCAGGUGAUAACGAGAAACAGCGCGGCUGUCAUUCUCUCACCCGCCCACCUGCUGCCGAGGCUCCCAAUCGGGGCGUGAAGAAUCCGAGGUAUGUGGCGCCGAGCGGAGUCGGGGGCAGCAGCUCGGCACCCGGACCGGACGCGCGACAGUCUUUCGGAUUCUCGUGCGACGGGAACCGAUUUGAGUGGAUCGCUUUUUCCCCCCACAGGUGCCAAACAUGAACCAGGUUCUGCUCUCCUCCAGCGUGUGAUCAGAUAAAUGAGCCUCAUUGUCAGAAUGAUUGUCUAAACAAUGGCGCCAAAGCAGCAAAACAAAGAAUUAAAAUGAUUAUGA